rnacentral:rRNA from 1 species
AUACGGAGGAUGCAAGCGUUAUCCGGAUUCAUUGGGUUUAAAGGGUGCGUAGGCGGAAUAUUAAGUCAGUGGUGAAAUCCUGCAGCUUAACUGUAGAACUGCCAUUGAUACUGGUAUUCUUGAAUAUAGUUGAGGUGGGCGGAAUGUGUAAUGUAGCGGUGAAAUGCUUAGAUAUUACACAGAACACCGAUUGCGAAGGCAGCUCACUAAACUAUUAUUGACGCUGAGGCACGAAAGCGUGGGUAGCAAACAGGAUUAGAUACCCUGGUAGUCCACGCUGUAAACGAUGAUCACUCGCUGUUGGCAAUACAUCGUCAGUGGCUGAGCGAAAGCAUUAAGUGAUCCACCUGGGGAGUACGGCCGCAAGGUUGAA